UAGCCUGCCUUAUAGUGGGGGAGUAGCCUUUCGAAAGGAAGAUUAAUACCGCAUAAGAUUGUAGUAUCGCAUGAUAUAGCAAUUAAAGGAGCAAUUCGCUAUAAGAUGGACCCGCGUCGCAUUAGCUAGUUGGUGAGGUAAUGGCUCACCAAGGCGACGAUGCGUAGCCGACCUGAGAGGGUGAUCGGCCACAUUGGGACUGAGACACGGCCCAGACUCCUACGGGAGGCAGCAUG
rnacentral:rRNA from 1 species